UUACUUCAGGGACAGGCAUCUGUAACCACCUGUGGGCCAAACAUAAUCAUGACUCAUGGUCUAUAGAAGCUGCCUGAGAAGUUUCGUGGAAGUGUGUGGAGUGGAUGUCAUGAUCCAUUCUGGUCACAGAAUGCAGAUGAACGAGACAUAGCCAAUAUAAUACACAUGGAAGGUCACCACCAAAUUGAUGUGCAGAUCACUUGAAGAAGAGGACAGAGAUGCAAGCUGCACCAGCACAAAAACAAAAUCAGCACUGAAUACCAUAGUAUGGCA
rnacentral:lncRNA from 10 species